rnacentral:rRNA from 1 species
UACAGAGGUGGCAAGCAUUGUUCGGAAUUACUGGGCGUAAAGGGCGCGUAGGCGGCCAUCUAAGUCAGACGUGAAAUCCCUCGGCUCAACCGGGGAACUGCGUCUGAUACUGGGUGGCUUGAAUCCGGGAGAGGGAUGCGGAAUUCCAGGUGUAGCGGUGAAAUGCGUAGAUAUCUGGAGGAACACCGGUGGCGAAGGCGGCAUCCUGGACCGGCAUUGACGCUGAGGCGCGAAAGCCAGGGGAGCAAACGGG